UGUUGAUGUUGCUGUUUCUUUAAACAAUCUUGGUUUGGUGUUUGAAAAAACUGGAAACUACGACAAAGCUAUAGAGGUUCACGGAAAAGCUCUAAAAAUUCGAAAACAAUCGUUAGGUCCAAA